ACGCGUAAGAACUUGCCUCUUAGACCGGGACAACAUCUGGAAACGGAUGCUAAUACCGGAUAUUAUGGUUUUUUCGCAUGGAGGAAUCAUGAAAGCUAGAUGCGCUAAGAGAGAGCUUUGCGUCCCAUUAGCUCGUUGGUGAGGUAACGGCCCACCAAGGCAAUGAUGGGUAGCCGGCCUGAGAGGGUGAACGGCCACAAGGGGACUGAGACACGGCCCUUACUCCUACGGGAGGCAGCAGUGGGGAAUAUUGGACAAUGGACCACAAGUCUGAUCCAGCAAUUCUGUGUGCACGAUGACGUUUUUCGGAAUGUAAAGUGCUUUCAGUCGGGAAGAAGUCAGUGACGGUACCGACAGAAGAAGCGACGGCUAAAUACGUGCCAGCAGCCGCGGUAAUACGUAUGUCGCAAGCGUUAUCCGGAUUUAUUGGGCGUAAAGCGCGUCUAGGCGGCAAGGAAAGUCUGAUGUGAAAAUGCGGAGCUCAACUCCGUAUGGCGUUGGAAACUGCCUUACUAGAGUACUGGAGAGGUAGGCGGAACUACAAGUGUAGAGGUGAAAUUCGUAGAUAUUUGUAGGAAUGCCGAUGGGGAAGCCAGCCUACUGGACAGAUACUGACGCUAAAGCGCGAAAGCGUGGGUAGCAAACAGGAUUAGAUACCCUGGUAGUCCACGCUGUAAACGAUGAUUACUAGGUGUUGGGGGUCAAACCUCAGCGCCCAAGCUAACGCGAUAAGUAAUCCGCCUGGGGAGUACGUACG
rnacentral:rRNA from 1 species